UACGAAGGGGGCUAGCGUUGCUCGGAAUCACUGGGCGUAAAGCGCACGUAGGCGGACUCUUAAGUCGGUGGUGAAAUCCUGGAGCUCAACUCCAGAACUGCCUUCGAUACUGAGGAUCUUGAGUCCGGGAGAGGUGAGUGGAACUGCGAGUGUAGAGGUGAAAUUCGUAGAUAUUCGCAAGAACACCAGUGGCGAAGGCGGCUCACUGGCCCGGUACUGACGCUGAGGUGCGAAAGCGUGGGGAGCAAACAGG
rnacentral:rRNA from 1 species